rnacentral:rRNA from 1 species
UUGAACGCUGGCGGCAUGCCUUACACAUGCAAGUCGCACGGCAGCACGGGUGCUUGCCCCUGGUGGCGAGUGGCGAACGGGUGAGUAAUACAUCGGAACAUGUCCUGUAGUGGGGGAUAGCCCGGCGAAAGCCGGAUUAAUACCGCAUACGAUCUACGGAUGAAAGCGGGGGACCUUCGGGCCUCGCGCUAUAGGGUUGGCCGAUGGCUGAUUAGCUAGUUGGUGGGGUAAAGGCCUACCAAGGCGACGAUCAGUAGCUGGUCUGAGAGGACGACCAGCCACACUGGGACUGAGACACGGCCCAGACUCCUACGGGAGGCAGCAGUGGGGAAUUUUGGACAAUGGGCGAAAGCCUGAUCCAGCAAUGCCGCGUGUGUGAAGAAGGCCUUCGGGUUGUAAAGCACUUUUGUCCGGAAAGAAAUCCUUGGCCCUAAUACGGUCGGGGGAUGACGGUACCGGAAGAAUAAGCACCGGCUAACUACGUG